rfam:Medicago truncatula strain A17 chromosome 6, whole genome shotgun sequence.
AAACAACCCAUUAUGUAUCGGAUCGUUGGCAAUUUUGGCCCCCAAGGCUACUUUUGACUUAGUCUUCGCUGACGUGGCACCCACAAUGGACGACACGUGGCACCUCACUUAAGGGAUGUGGAUGUCAUGUCAGCGAAGACUAAGUCAAAAGUGGCCUUGGAGGCCAAAACUGCCAAAGAUCCAAUACAUAGGGUGUUGUUU